rnacentral:rRNA from 1 species
UGGGGAAUUUUGCACAAUGGGGGCAACCCUGAUGCAGCGACGCCGCGUGAUUUAGAAGGCCUUCGGGUUGUAAAAAUCUUUUGUAUGGGAAGAAAAUGACAGUACCAUACGAAUAAGGACCGGCUAAUUACGUGCCAGCAGCCGCGGUAAUACGUAAGGUCCGAGCGUUGUCCGGAAUCAUUGGGCGUAAAGGGUACGUAGGCGGAUAAGCAAGUUAGAAGUGAAAUCCUAUAGCUCAACUAUAGUAAGCUUUUAAAACUGCUCAUCUGGGGGUAUGGAAGGGAAAGUGGAAUUCCUGGGGUAGCGGUGAAAUGCGCAGAUAUUAGGAGGAAUACCGGUGGCGAAGGCGACUUUCUGGCCAUAAACUGACGCUGAGGUACGAAAGCGUGGGUAGCAAACAGG